rnacentral:rRNA from 1 species
GAUGAACGCUGGCGGCGUGCCUAAUACAUGCAAGUCGAACGAAACUUCUUUAUCACCGAGUGCUUGCACUCACCGAUAAAGAGUUGAGUGGCGAACGGGUGAGUAACACGUGGGCAACCUGCCCAAAAGAGGGGGAUAACACUUGGAAACAGGUGCUAAUACCGCAUAACCAUAGUUACCGCAUGGUAACUAUGUAAAAGGUGGCUAUACUACCGCUUUUGGAUGGGCCCGCGGCGCAUUAGCUAGUUGGUAGGGUAAAGGCUUACCAAGGCAAUGAUGCGUAGCCGAAUUGAGAGGUUGAUCGGCCACAUUGGGACUGAGACACGGCCCAAACUCCUACGGGAGGCAGCAGUAGGGAAUCUUCCACAAUGGGCGAAAGCCUGAUGGAGCAACGCCGCGUGGGUGAAGAAGGUCUUCGGAUCGUAAAACCCUGUUGUUAGAGAAGAAAGUGCGUGAGAGUAACUGUUCACGUUUCGACGGUAUCUAACCAGAAAGCCUCGGCUAACUACGUG